rnacentral:rRNA from 1 species
GAUGAACGCUGGCGGCGUGCCUAAUACAUGCAAGUCGAGCGAACGGACGAGAAGCUUGCUUCUCUGAUGUUAGCGGCGGACGGGUGAGUAACACGUGGAUAACCUACAUAUAAGACUGGGAUAACUUCGGGAAACCGGAGCUAAUACCGGAUAAUAUUUUGAACAGCAUGGUUCAAAAGUGAAAGACGGUCUUGCUGUCACUUAUAGAUGGAACCGCGCUGCAUUAGCUAGUUGGUAAGGUAACGGCUUACCAAGGCAACGAUGCAUAGCCGCCCUGAGAGGGUGAUCGGCCACACUGGAACUGAGACACGGUCCAGACUCCUACGGGAGGCAGCAGUAGGGAAUCUUCCGCAAUGGGCGAAAGCCUGACGGAGCAACGCCGCGUGAGUGAUGAAGGUCUUCGGCUCGUAAAACUCUGUUAUUAGGGAAGAACAUAUGUGUAAGUAACUGUGCACAUCUUGACGGUACCUACUCAGAAAGCCACGGCUAACUACGUG